rnacentral:lncRNA from 1 species
UUGGGAGAAUGGUAAAUCCAUCGGAGCUGUUUGUUAUCAAAAAUGAAACAGAACUUUUCUCAGGACUAAAUCCAGCAUCUCAAAACUAAAUCUGGAGCAAGUGAACUAAUCAGCUCCAGGAGAUUUCUUCACGCCAGAUGAUCGGCGACGGAGGAUGGAGCGUCCCGCGCACAAUGCGCUUGAAGACCACUGGUGCGAUUUUCUUCUUCUGCUUCUUCUCCACUGCAGCCUCCUUCUCCUUAGCCUCCUCCGCAGCCUCCUUUGCCUCCUUCUCCGCAGCCUGUCUCUUCUUGGCUUCUAAAGGAUCUUGGGGUGGUGGUCUCGAGUAAUCCACACCAGUCAUGCGCUGCCGGUCCUCAAACUCGUUCGGCGGGCUCUCAAUCUCACGGGUAGAUGAAGAUCUGAGCCUAGGUGCAGCUGGUGGCUUUGUCCUGGAAGAGCAAAGUAUGGAAAAAAUAAUGGUGUGGUUCAGUCAAAUAUUUUUUCUGUAAAGAAAUUAAAAUAUGGAAAUUAUAAAGGUGUUGGAUCAUACUGAGAAGCCGUUGUGGGGUGAGGAGGUCCAGCAAGACGACCCAUAAUCCCAUUCAGCAAACCCUGACAUGGGGCACCUGCAGUACCAGUCAACAGUAGGUUAAGAUAACCCCAUAUGUGCUUUCAAAACCAAUUUUAACAGAAGGUGAUUGAGAGACAAAAUAAUAACCUGUAAGGGUAAGGGGUGUAAGAGACAAAAGUGAUGGUCUCCUAGCUUGAUCCCUGCUUGAUUGGACCCUAACACAAGUAGCAAAAAUCAACAUUUUAAUAAAAUUACUUGGCAAAAGAAAUUUUGUAAACAAAAGGCUGACAGAACUAUCCAACUGAAAUAUGAAGAGAUUGCUUACUGAUGGAGCCAAAGCUGAGCCGCUUCCAAAAGCGCUCUGGGUAACAGUUGCAGUUGGGGUUUGAAAUGAUGUAGGAACUGCAGAAUUUGAUGUUCCUGAAUAUUGUAAGGUUUAACAAAUGUUAAGACAGUAUUGAAUAGACUUAUAUUAGAUUAUAUGCCGAAUGAUGAAGAUAAUCAGAUCGAACAGUGGAUAACCAAAAGCAGAAUUUGUGGUGCCAUGAUUUGCAUAUGCUACAUUAGCAAUCAGUGCGAGUCCAAACAUCCACUAACAUAUAUACAAGAACAAUGCAUGUUGAGGAUGCAAGCUUAUCAUUCAAAAUAAAUCAGUAGUUACCAGGUGCGGCAGGGGGAUAAGCAGGGGGUAGCCUCCUAAGCAAAGCAGAAUAGUCCUCACCAGCCUUCCAUCCUGAGGGUCCAAACAGUGAGUACUAACAUAUAUAGACAAACAAGAUACAUAGAGACAAUGCAGCUAACUGUAAGUUAACAAUGCACAAUGUCACAGGUAAUAAAGGGAGAAAUGGUUCUCCUGUGAAGACACAGUUCGAUGGAAUUGGGUAUUAAUUCAUUGCCCAAGGUGAGCAGUGAAGAUGACCACUUACAUAUUCUCUUCACUUCAUGUGAGGAAUUUGUUGGGCAAUUUCUUUUUAGAACACUUUCUUUUGAAACAUCAUUGCUGUUGGAAUGUGGCCUUUUAGCUAUUUAAUAUAAACUGGAGUAGCCGAGUGACUACUUUGUACUUUCAUUGGGCAAGUCAGUAAUUGAGUAAUGCAUUAACAAAAACUGCCAGAAAAGCUGAACAUGCUGUGAGGCAUUUCAAAACUGUGUAAUGUUUGUUGGUGUUGCGUAUAUAACUAGUUUAUCGAUCGAACUUUCAUCACAGAUCAAUGUCAAGAAAGGUUUUUCAACACAUACUUGCUUCCCCAAGUUCCAAAUCUAUUUUAACACGAGCAGCAUUCCCUUCUGAUCCUGCAAAGGUACGAUCGAACGAAAGUAUAUGUUACUUUGUAAAUCAAUAGAAGAUGUAAACUACUUAGGAAAGGUGCUUACCCUUAAGACAAAGCAUUAGGAAAAACUGAAAGAUGCAGAAGCCAACCAUUAUUAUGCCAGAAGAUAUCUGAGAAAACAACAAUUUAUAAUUAUCCCUAGGCCAAGAUAUCUGAAGAAAUAAACCAUUCCCGAUAAUACAUUACUUCCUAGAUGCCUAGUCAUUUAAUAUGAAGUGAUAUUUUCUACCUAAACUGUUGAAAUAUAAAAUGCAUGCUUGGAACAUUCUAGAAGAUUUUGAAAAUCACAAGAGACUUUGACAUACAUAAGGAUAAGAUCAUGGCAAAGUAUGAAGGUUCCAUAAGACUUUGGAGAUAUCAAGAGUUUAGAGUUGCCAUGCUUCAUGGCAACUUAUGAAUAGUCUAGAGCACGAUAUUUAUAUGGUAGGAUAAGAAUGAGAGAAAAUUCUAGAAUUAGAUAUUUAUAAAGAAAAGUGUGGAAGAUGUCACAUAGCAACACCACAAAGACCAUGAGCACCUAUAAAUAGAGGUGCUCCCCUCCCAUAGCAAGCAGGUGAUUGCAAGGUAGAUCCAUUUUGUAUACUAAAAUCUAUUUUCGACAGGAUAUUCCAAUUCAAAAUAAAAUGCUCUAUUUUCACACCUAAGAUCUAUUUUUCACACAAACCUUCCUCUUCGCGAACAGACAUCUAUUUUCAAUACUGUUUUACAAAUUCUACAUAUUCUAGGAAACUAUGUCCUAUUUUCACGAAUAACAAGGAUACUGGAAAAAAACAAGAUUCCAACUGGGAAAACAAAAAUACGUGAAAGAAACGAGAAUCCACCGUGCAAAACAGUAAUAAUGCCAAUAACAUGAAACCUUAAUCAUAGAAGUUCAUUAAAAAUCCACUGCAACAAACUAAGAAUACUACAAACCUUAAUCAUACAAGUUCAUUAAACAUCCACUGCAUCAAACUAAGAAUACUACGAAGUACUACUAAUAUUAUUACAUCAGUUCUGGCCACCCUAUUACAAAAGGCAUUGCUUAGAGCAUGUUCAUCCAUCACAUUAAAGUGUGGAUAUAAAAAGUCCUCCACAUGAACAAGGAAAUCAUGCACUUCCCUUCCACCAUGCCUACAAAUUAAACAACAAACAGUUCAGUGACACACAGAUUUCACAGGAGGUUAUAAGAGAGUGAGGGACAAAUCUUUGUUUCUUUGUAUAUCUUUCGUAUAUAGCUGUCUGUAGUGCCAUCAUAACAGAUUUGCGCUGGCCUUGCCUUGUUUCAGCACAAUGUUCUCGUUCUCUAAAGCUCACGGCAUUUGAAACACGAUUACUCGCACAGUAGACAAUCCAAUCAUUUCCAUGCAAUACUGGUAAGAAGAUUUUGGAAAAAAAAAUAUCAUGCAUUGAAAGAUAUAGGGAAAAUCAAAGGGUUUACUUAAGUUUUAAAUGGACUGGUUUUACCAUAUCAAAUGAUGACCAAAAUGAUGCAGGUAGCAUCUUGGCAAUAUUUUCCUUAAAUUUCUCUGGGUCCUUUUCCUGGUGCAAAACAAACAGCAAGUUUUUUUUUUGAACCGAAACCGUGGGGCAAAGUCUCCUGGCAACAAACUUAUAAUAACCAGAGAGUUAAAGAAUACUUACAUAGUCCUGCGGUGCUAAAAAUAUCCUGGCUUUUUUACCAUUUUCCUCAUCAUACAUCAGGCAUUCAGUGAAUGCCUGUAGGAUAUAACUGCUGAGCACACCACCAGAGAUGAAUUCAGCCAUGGAAGUUGAUGUUAUGGAUAUUCCUCCAAUAGAUAUGAUCUCAUGUCUGUCAUUUACAAUACGAGGAGUAUUAGAUGCACAAAAGAAAUAAGUCUUGCUGCUUGUAUUAGAUAUAGUAAUUGCACCAAACAAAUACAAGGAGUAUUAGAAGCUAAUACUUACUCCUUGUACUUCUCCGAGCAAACAAGAUCAUACAGCUUCGAGCUUAUCUUUUCAGGCACCUUUGUGUAUCUAGCCACUUUUAGAGUUGAUAUCGCUUUUCCUCUUGUCCUUUUAGCUGACUUUUCAAAGUCACUUACUUUUUCAGCCUUCCUCUUGUGCGAAGUAUCUUCUGCCCCAGAGGAGGAUUCGGAAGUGAAUUCUUGUUGUUCAGGGACAGUUGGCACAGCUUCCCCUUGUACACUUUCCAGGGCAGACCCGAUAGUUGGCACAGCUUCUCCUUGUACACUUUCCAGGGCAGACCUGGAGACUACCAGGGAAGAGGAAUCACCGGCUGCCAUGCCUACAUUUGAGCGCACCCUAUUUGCUUUGCUGUAGAUUAGGUCAACUGCAGUUUUCUGCCGGU